UACGUAGGGUGCAAGCGUUGUCCGGAAUUAUUGGGCGUAAAGAGCUCGUAGGCGGUCUGUUACGUCGGCUGUGAAAACCUGGGGCUCAACCCCGGGCCUGCAGCCGAUACGGGCAGACUAGAAUUCGGUAGGGGAGACUGGAAUUCCUGGUGUAGCGGUGAAAUGCGCAGAUAUCAGGAAGAACACCCGUGGCUAAGGCGGCUCUCUAGUACGGUACUGACGCUGAGACGCGAAAGCGUGGGGAGCGAACAGG
rnacentral:rRNA from 1 species